CCUACGGGUGACAGCAGUGGGGAAUAUUGGACAAUGGGGGAAACCCUGAUCCAGCGACGCCGCGUGAGUGAAGAAGUAUUUCGGUAUGUAAAGCUCUAUCAGCAGGGAAGAAAAUGACGGUACCUGACUACGAAGCCCCGGCUAACUACGUGCCAGCAGCCGCGGUAAUACGUAGGGGGCAAGCGUUAUCCGGAUUUACUGGGUGUAAAGGGAGCGUAGACGGCAGUGCAAGUCUGGAGUGAAAUGCCGGGGCUCAACCCCGGGACUGCUCUGGAAACUGUAAGGCUGGAGUGCAGGAGAGGUAAGCGGAAUUCCUAGUGUAGCGGUGAAAUGCGUAGAUAUUAGGAGGAACACCAGCGGCGAAGGCGGCUUACUGGACUGUAACUGACGUUGAGGCUCGAAAGCGUGGGGAGCAAACAGGAUUAGAUACCCGAGUAGUC
rnacentral:rRNA from 1 species